AUUGGCAGCGUUAGUACAACUAUUGUUUUGUAGGGCCCCAGGCCAUGGCAUUGCAUGCUGGAGAGUCAGUGGAGCCUCUUGUCCCAUCUAGGUGACUCGGAGCUUCCCAGCCAGCCUUCAUCUGGUGCAGGAAGCAUCUUUCUUCAUGAGCAGUCCCACAGGCUGUGAUGGAGUGACUCUGAGGUCUUCCCAAAUCAGACUCGAAGAAGGCCCUGUUCCAAUUCUGGACACAAGGCAUAAAAAAGCAGCACCGGAAUCUUGCCAAAAAGUAUCUGGUUAUGAAAAGAAUCAUGACCAUCCUGGAAUACAGAAGGCAGGACAACAAGGUCCAUAGUCUUGGUUAAACACAUUAAACUGAGGGAUCAUGACUGAUAGGCUGAAUGAGAACAGCCCAUGAGCCCAAAACAACGUAAAAGCACGUUUCCCCUCCUCUGCAGCCCACAUACCUGGAUGGAUCUUCAUGUGUAGCAAGAAAAACAGAAUUAUCUUGCACUACUCUAACAGAAUCUUCUCUUUUGGUUGUUUUGAUACUACAUUUGCUUUGCUUUACCUUGUGUGGUGAUUUCUACCACUGAAGAAACUUUUACUUGGAAUGCACAAAUAUAUCAUGGGAAUUUAUUGCGAAGGGAAGAGGUUGAUAAAAAUGUUAAGUGAUAAAAGAAAGCUUUAGAAGAAGUUAACAUCUGAGAAUGAAGAACCUGUUACAAAACCGCAAUGCAUAGUAUCUAUUCCUGAAAACCUGCCUAUUUGAUCAGUCUGCUGAAAAACAUGUGAAAAUGUAAACGGAAGUAACUGUAAGCAUCUCCAGACACAGAGUAACAGCAAUAAGAUACCUAAGAGUCUACUCUGAGGCACCACAGGAGAAGGGGGACUUGAAAACACAUUACUGGAAGAUGAGAUGACCUCAGGGGGCUUCUUCCAUGCAGAAGAGGAUGCCAGGGAGCAACUUACGGGAGGGAAAGGAGAGAAUGAGGCUUCAGGAUCCCUGCUGUUUCAAAUACUUCCAUGAUGGCUGCCAACAGGAGGGGAAAGACAAGAGGGAAGAAUCUCGUAAAAUCCCGUGACUCAGGAAGCUCGGGUUCAAGAUAAAACCUUGUUACUCAUGAAGAACCUGUGAACAUUGGAAGGGACUGAACCAAUCCCACAGCACAGGUUAGCAAUGCUUAACAGGUUUCCCACUUUGAACUUUUGUAUUUUGAGGUAUAUUUUUGUUACUACAAAAAAGCAGCUAAAUAAGAACCUUGGUCUUGGUAUUUCUGUGACAUUAAGAAACUGUCAUCAUUCCAGUAUUAUUGAUAUUUCAGAGUAAUAAUUGACUACCCACUGUUUCACCAAAAAUAAUAUUUUGGUGUGACUGCAGGUAGAGGCGGGUUUUCCCCUGUUUGGUAGUUUCUUGCUAUACAGCAAAAGGUAUGUUUUGAGGGUUUGUCCCAAGUCAGUCUCCUGACACCAAAUUGCCAUGUUUCUAGUAGAACCAUGUGGUCAUAAAACCUUCCUGCAGCUAUUGGCUUUGCAGUGGACCUUGUCCAGAUCCUCCCUCCCAUCAUGGAGAAUGUACCAGAAGAUAUAUUGCAGCCUGGGAUGCUCUAUAUUCUACGGAUAAGUUUUCUGCUGGGAUCAGAACUGACAGUGAACUCUAAUUCCUCUUUAUGCUCUUUCCUUGUAAUAUCUUCCUGACUGCAGACUCUUCCCAGUUUCAGAGGAGAGACUACGAUGCAGGGUUGAUGAGUGGUACUUUCUCACUCACAAACACACUCCCAAGGCAGAGCGUUUACUCCUAUUCUUCCAGCAAGUAACAACUAGGAGCUGCAUUAGUAAAUAAAGCAAGCGCUGAGCCUGGAAUGGGAGGUUAAACAUCCUGCUGGAAAGUCAGCAGUUUUAGUCAUGGUGUAAAAUAUCCCAUGACGGCAUUCCUUUCUGAAACCUGAUCCCGGAGAGAACAGCUUACAGAGCUGAAGAGAUGCCAGGCAAUGAUCUAUGGCCCUGGCCUUCCUGAAAUGUAUUCCUCCCCAGCAUCUGUAAGCUCUCAAGUCAUCCAUGUAGUCCUCACGUAUAUGUAACACAUCCUUGAGCCAUGACUUUUUCUCCUGUGGUUCAAAGCUGUGUUUUCAUGUGCCUCUGAGCACUUUAACUAGGCACAACGUUGGGAUACAGAUCCAAACAAAAUAAUAUCAGCUUUCCUGGUUUUAGAGCAUAGUUUAUGCCCUGCUUGGCUGAAUUAAUAGAAACAUUUGGGAAUCACCCCCAACAAACUUCUUGUAAGCUGGAAGUCUGAAUGUUACAGCUAAAUCCAGGCAAUCACGUGAGUAUGAGCGUAAUCAGGACCAUACAUCUGAAGCGUGUCUUCAGCAGUUUCCGGGAAGUUUGGAUCUGUCAUAAGAAUUGCAAAAGUUUUAAAACUCUUUCUGUUCAAACCUGUUAUUAAGUACAGCAAAAUUGUUUCCAGCUAAGAAUAUCUAUAAACCUUAA